AUGUGUACAGCCAUACAUCCUUCGCUCGCGGUAUACUCUUCGUCGCAUGGACCAACGGCGUCGCACGACCAGGCUUGUGCCGGCCGUUGCGCGCUGGGAGCUGGCCACCGGACGCGUGGACGGCCUCAGGGACGCCUCCACCGUACGCAGUACGUGCCACGCGUUCACGGUCACCACGUGCAUGCGUACCGCGUAAACAGUACACGGACGGACGAUCAGUACACGCGCGCGCUCUCCGGACCGCCCAACCCGGCGACUCGCCCACGCCAAGCAAAGCAAACACCGGGCCGGCAGCCAACCGUUCCGACGCGAUCACCGCGCCCACCGCGCGCCCAUCGGCCGGAUCGCGUCGCGCCCUCCUGCGUUCCUGUGGCCGCGGCGCGUCACCCAGAAGCCGACGCGGGCGGCGUUGACAACAUGUGGUGA
rnacentral:rRNA from 1 species